rnacentral:lncRNA from 1 species
UGUAAUCGUUUUUUUUGUUAUAAACUCUGGUUUUAAAAUCGUGUUACUAUUGCCUCUGGAAAUAUGAGUGAAUAAACAUUUUCUGCACAAUCAUAUGAGNUAUGACAGUCUUUAUGAAGAGCUCAANUGCAUGAUUGGUGUCAAUCAUUUCAGAAUCAGUGCAGAGUUGUGUUGGUUGCAGUUGCAUUGAUCUGUUUGAACUGUUACAGUCACUAUUUCAUUGGUUGGAUUUGGUUUGAAUUGCUGAUUUGAAUGUCUGGAAAUGCUUAAUUCGAGCUAAUACAGGAUGAAUACCAUAUAAGCAUUAGAUUGCCUUUGCAAUUGGCUUGGUAGUAUCAUUGGAAAGUUCAAAUAUGCACCAAUUCUACAGUUGACCGAUCUGCAUUGUAUUGUUUGAGUCCAGUUUUUGUUUUUCUUAAUUUGGUUUAGCAUUAGAUCAUUGCUGGACAUCUUCCAUUAAUUUCAUAGUGUUUGUUCAACUCUUAUUUGCUGUUUUUGAGUCCUGUGACUUGUUCACAUUUUGUUUCAACAUCUGAGUCAAAUUUUUGGUUGGAUAAGUUGCAUAUUUUGAGUGAAUUUGGUGGCUGAACCAUUGAUACUUUGAAAGACUUUGUUUCUGCUUCACUAAGCUGUUUAAACAAGUUUGAAUUAUGCAUUAAAACUUGCUAAAGCAAACAAGUUUCUUAGUUUUAGCUACCCUGUGUGUUUUCACUAGAACCACCAAACUUUUGGCAUUUUUCAUUNACAAGUUGCUGCAUCAUUAGUGUAUCUAACUCUGAUUCUGGUUGAGCAUUCUAAUUGGAUUGUAGCAAAAGGAGUGGUCAUAUUAUCUUCAGCAUAAAACAGUCAUUAUAAAAAAAAAAGGAAGUUCAAUUUAAAGUUCUGAAAAGCCAAAUAGGCCUGUGCAAUCCAUGUUUUUAAAAAACUAAAACACAGAAUCAGAUUUUGGAAACUGGAACUAGGUUUAUCUUUGAUAGUUCAGCAGCUUCUUGUUUGUCUUUUCUUGUUUUUAAAAUCUGCUUUAGAUCUUUUGGUAGGUUCUGUUUGAGUGCCUCCUUUCUUGAAAGCUUUGUUUAUUGCUUGUCUUGAUUGAUAACUCUGGUUUU